UGUUUGAGGAAUUGAUAUCUUUUGUUACGAUUGAAUCUUUUGUUGUAUUUAUUUCUAUAGCACAAUCUUUCUUUUGUUUAUAAGAGACUAUUGCUUUCUGUUUAGCAAUUAGAGACUAAAGAGUGUUUCAUGUUGAGUUUGAGAGGAAAUAACAAUCUGUUUUAGAUUCUGAUAUCCGCUCUUAUGAUAAUCCGUUAUUGAAAAUUAACUUUUUAUGGUGAAUAUAUCAGUUACAGCUAUAAUUGAUUUCAGUAUUUGAACUUUUAUAAAUAAGUUGAUUUUAUUUUAUUUAGUGCUAAUUUGAAACUUUUUUUUUGUUACACCUUAAUGUUUCUAAAAAUGCAAUUUUAUUAGUAUUUUAGCUACCUUGCACUAUUCAUUUUUCUAAUUUACCUCUAUUUCGUUGCUAGUUUUACUUCUCUCUAUAUUUUCAACCCAUUUUCCCGAGAGUUUCUCAAGAGUCUGAUGGUGAAUCGUUGGCGACCACCAACCACGACCAGGCUAUCUUUUUCACUUUCAACAAUUCCUUCAAAAUGAAGAACGCUUCGAUUUUGAGGGUUUGGUGAAGAAUUGGGAGAAUUCAGGCAACUUUGCAAAUUCUGAUUCUGAGCAAAUGGUUGCACAUGUUCGAUUAUUUAACUGUUAUAUUGUUCGUUUGUUUGAUUGAAGAAGCUUAUCACCCUAUAGUCGAAGCACUUGUCAGGAGCAAUUUGGUUCUCUGUCUCUAUACACUAUACGCAGCUGCCGAGUAGAUAGGCGGUGAUAGUAGCAAUGGUGGUGGCUUCGAAAAGGGGGAAGAAAGAGAGUGGGGACUGGGAUGAAGUGUAAUCCCCCGUAUUUUUUUUAAAAUAUUUUAUAAAUGAAAUAUUAUUUUAUUUAUAAUAUUUAUUUGUUAUUUUCCGUAAUUUAAUGUCAAAAGUUUCAAAUGAUUACUCUGGGUCGAAAAUUAUUUGAACAAAUUAUUUUAUGCACCUUUAUUCUACAAUUUAUGUCCAAUCAAACAAGCCUAACCCAUUUGUUUACUUAAUUGACCCAUUAUUUUUAUAAGGUCCAAUCUUCCUAUUUACCCUACAAUUCUCCUAUAAAUACCCCAUGAAUCCCCAAAAAU